AAGAACGAUCCUUUAGCGCACCGGUGAUUGCUGAAUUUUUGCGGUGACGUUCUGACCAUUUCUAGGGUAUAGAGUAAUAGUUUCGCACUAUGGCACUCCCAACCAGCGAUGUAUGGCUGCAUUACGUGAAAUCUGAAGGUGGAG